UAAAUCUACGUAUGGAAAUUC
rnacentral:miRNA from 1 species